ACUGGCGCUAAAUUUGAUGUCAAGUACAUUAUCUUCCGCUGUAGUAUGCACGUACAUGUAUGCGUUCGUUGUGUAUAUUAACGGUUUUUUUUUUGUUUCGUUUUUGGUUUUUAGCCUCUAUACUCCCACCUAGCGUCCGCAUCACGUCACUGCGUCAUUACCUAAGAGAACAAGGUUACGUAUGCAGUCUAGGUCCAGGCUAUGUAACGAGAGUCACGUGACCCGCGGUGUAUUGGAUGCCAAUGCUUUACGCAAGUUGUCUGGUUGCUAUGCAACUUGAGUAAUAGGAACAAUGUCGUCACGAUAUAUGUUACAAAAAACAUUUCAAUUAUACAACCAUUGUAUAUUACUGUUAUUGCUGCAUAAUAACAACAAUAAUUAUAUUUAUAAAACGGAAAAGGAUCAAGAAGGUUGUUUUUGUGUGUGUGUGUGUUGUUGUUGUUGCUGUGGUAGAAUAAGAUCAUUAUUUUAAAUAAAUAUUUUGAAUAUGUUUUCCAUUUAGUUUUUAUAUCGACCUGUACUAAUGUCAGGAGUAAUGGUGAGGUGUCUGGACUGAAUGCAUCCACACACCGUGUAACAUCCGUGGAACAGAGAAAUAUGUUCUUCUAUCUUAAAUAUAAUAUAUAGUGUAACUUUAAACAUUAUUAUUCCUACAUAAUUACUAAAACCUCAUGAAAGCGACUUAUCCAGAUCCUCACUUCAAAAUCUAGUCGUGUGUGUGUGUGUGUUUGUGUCUCUGUGUGUCUGUGUGCAUGUCUGUGUUUGUGUCUGUCUGUCUGUGUGUGUAUCUGUGUGUGUGUCUCUCUCUCUCUCCCUGUGUUUCUGUGUGUAUGUGUCUGUGUUUCUGUGUGUGUGUUACUGUGUAUGUGUGUGUGUAUCUGUAUUUCUCUGUGUGUGUAUCUGUGUUUCUGUGUGUGUGUGUAUCUGUAUUUCUCUGUGUAUGUGUGUGUGUGUAUCUGUGUGUGUCUGUGUUUCUGUGUGUGUUCAUCUGUGUUUCUCUGUGUAUGUGUGUGUGUGUAUCUGUGUGUGUCUGUGUUUCUGUGUGUAUGUGUGUGUAUCUGUGUGUGUCUGUGUUUCUGUGUGUGUUCAUCUGUGUUUCUCUGUGUAUGUGUGUGUGUGUAUCUGUGUUUCUGUGUGUGUAUCUGUGUGUGUGUGUGUGUGUGUGUGUGUGUGUGUAUCUGUGUUUCUCUCUGUGUGUGUGUGUGUGUGUGUGUAUCUGUGUUUCUCGGUGUAUGUGUAUGUGUGUGUAUGUGUGUGUGUGUGUGUGUGUGUGUGUGUGUGUGUGUGUUUCAGGACAUCAUGAGCAGUUCUGAACGGUGUUCCCUUUUAAAGAAAGAGUCACUAACUGUAAUUGAAACCCUCUGGCUCUGUUCUGUUCUGAUGUCAGCAGCAGUGAUGUGACGUCACGACCUUAAAGCGGUACGACGAGAACGAGCAGAUUAAUAUCACAUAAAAAGCAAUAACCCAGCCUUCGGGGCAUGCACCAGUGAGUGAAUGUGCACAGGAAAUGAUACAAGAGCUGGAAAUAGCAGUCCAUUAUUCUGAUUCUGAAUGACGGAGUGACGUGUGUAUCCCGGUUUACAACCCUCUUUAGUCUCAGUCAAAUUGCACAAAAGAGCAGAUUUACAGUGAAUUGUGAGAGCCGUGACGUCUCGUCCUCCGAGCAGCUGUAUCCUCUGUUGACCUGUAAGGGAGAUGAAGAUAGGACGGAGAGGAGCCGAGGAACAUGUGGAAACGAAGAGAAGUGCUGAGUGAGACGGAGAAAAAAAGACAAACAAGGUGGGGUUAAAUGCUCCGGCUACGGUAAACACACAGGCUCGGCACAACAGCACCGGUGCAUCAGCAAAACUGUGGUUGUCGAUAUGAAGCACUCAAACACCCUAAACACGGCAGCCUUAUAAUUACACGGCGCGAUACUACUUCAAAAGCAGUGCUGGUAAUGUCUGCGUGAUGUAAUGAGUAUGUGCAGAAUGAGAACUAUACACUACACACUAAGCACAAUCUGUAAAUGUGGGAUUGUGACUCACUGCAUGGUCUACUGUAUCUAAUAUCUAAGCGGUCAUGACUACAGCAGAAGGGGCAGCGGUGUUGCCGAGUGUGAAAAAGAUUCGGUCUAAAUAUGAAGAUGCAAGAAUGUUGUAAAAUGACACAAAGAAAGAAGCAGUGGUUAGCUAGGUUUACAAUACUCUAGCUAACAAAGAAAAGUGGGGAAAGUGGAAGUGCUUCAGUGAAUCAGUGAUGGAUAAGUGAAUGAAGUAGUGAGUGAAUCAGUGAAUGAAUCAGUAAACAAAUCAGUGAAUGAAUCAGCGAAGGAAUCGUUAAUCGAAUCUGUAAUCGAGUCUUUUUUAGCUACUGAAGGAAUCGGUGAAUGAAUCGGUGACGGAUAAGUGAAUGAAUCAGUAAGUCAAUCAGUGAGUGGAUCAGUGAACGAAUCAGUAAGCAAAUCAGUGAAUGAAUCUUUAACCGAAUCAGUAAUCAAACCUUUGUUAGCUACUGAAGGAACCAGUGAAUGAAUCAGUGACAGAUAAGUGAAUGGAUCAGUGAAGGAAUCAGUAAACAAUCCAGUGAACGAAUCAGUGAAUGGAUCAGUAAAUUAAUCAUAGGAAAAUCAGUAAUCAAAUCUUUUUUAGCUACUGAAGGAAUCAAUGAAUGAAUCGUUAACCAUAUCAGUAAUCAAAUCUUUUUUUAGCUACUGAAGGAAUCAGUGAAUGAAUCAGUGACGGAUAAGUGAAUGGAUCAGUGAAUGAAUCAGUAAACAAUUCAGUGAAUGAAUCAGUGAAUGGAUCAGUAAAUUAAUCAUAGGAAAGUCAGUAAUCAAAUCUUUUUUAGCUACUGAAGGAAUCAAUGAAUGAAUCGUUAACCAUAUCAGUAAUCAAAUCUUUUUUUUAGCUACUUAAGGAAUCAGUGAAUGAAUCAGUGACGGAUAAGUGAAUGUAUCAGUGAAUGAAUCAGUAAACAAUUCAGUGAAUGAAUCAGUGAUUGGAUCAGUAAAUGAAUCAUUAAGCAAAUCAGUAAUUAAAUCUACUGAAGGAAUCAGUGAAUAAAUUAGUGAUGGAUCAGUGAAUGAAUCAGCGAACGGAUCGGUGAAUGAAUCAAUGAAUGGAUCAGUGAAUGAAUCAAUGAAUGGAUCAGUAAAUGAGUCGGUGAAUGAACCAGUGAAUGGAUCAGUGAACAAUUCAGUGAACAAAUAAUUGAAGGAAACAGUGAACAAAUCAGCAAACGAAGCUUUUUAGCUACUGGAGGAAACAGCAAACAAAUCAGUCAUGGACCGAUGAACGGAUCAAUGAUGGAUCAUUGGAUGGAUCAGUAACCAAAUCAGUGAAUGAAUAAAUAAACAGUAAACAAACCUUUUUAGCUACUGAAUGAAUCAUCAAACGAAUCAGUGAAUGGAUCAGUGAACAAUUCUUUUUAGUUGAGUGGGCCAAAAAAAAACUCAAGUCAGUGAAAUAUUCAAAAUCUUUUUUCCAACCUAGUUUAAGAUAUUUUUAUUUGAAAGAUUUUAGCAAGAUCUGAACUUUGAUUGGCUGUUAUUUGCCAUGCCAUAAUCCAGGGCUGUCCAAUCGUAUCCGGAAAGAGCCGGUGUGGGUGCCAAGUCUGACUGGAAUAAAAAGCUGCACUGCACCUACAUUGGCUCUUUCCAGAAAAGAUUAAUCACCCCUGCCAUAAUGCAUAGGAAUAUACUUAUAGAAAGCUGAAGCUCUGUUGAAGCAAAUAGUCAAGUUUUUAAGAUUAUGAUUUUUCAGAAAACAUCAUAACGCUGUGAGUAGUGCAUUCUUUAUUCAUCAUAAUAUUCGUUAUCAAAUAAACAGAAUAAAUAAUAUGAACACAUUUACAUCGCUGCAUGUGUGGAUUCGAAGUCUAACUCAAUUGCGUGAAGAAGGUAAAGUCUUUCUUCUCACGAUACCGCCACACCCUCACACCCUGAACUGAAUCCGAAUCAAUCACUAUAUCAUUACAGGACACACUUUAAAAAAAAAAGAAAAAAAAACGUUAAAAUUCAGAAGAAGAAAGCCAAACCGUGGCCUUGUUGAUGAUCAGUGCAAUAAAGAUUCGAGCAGAAAUAAGUUAAUAAGUUACGCUACGUCACGCUAUACAAACGAGUCCUGUAGUGUGUGUCGUCUCUGGGAGAAAUCUACUGGCCCACAAAACAAAAAGAAGGAAAUGUACAACUUUGUCAUUCUCAGUGCAGGCAAACCAUGAAAAUCACACGUCGUUUUGGAUAAGCAUGCUUAAGUUCGAUAUAUAUAUAUAUAUAUAUUUUUGGUGAUUUUAUCCAUCCCAUCCCAUCUCAUCCCUCCCUCCCUCCCACCCUUGUGCUUCUUUGAGUCUUUGGUGCCCCCGGUGGUCGCUGGAGGAACCGUGAUGUCGGUGAAAUCUACAGGAUAAUCCAUACGAUCUGUUCGUUUCUGGAGCAGGAAGCUUAAAGACGAAAAUGAAGAUCUCAUCUUAUUCAAUCCAGAAAAUCCAUUCACUCCCCCCUCCCCCCCCCCGCCCCCGUGAAUUCUUCUGCAUUCCUCUUCUGUUUUUUUCCUCAUAUACUUUGUGCUGUGCAGUAAUAAACCCACCCCCACCACCCACCCCUCCUUUCCCCCUUCCCCAGCCCUCUUUACCCCUGCGUGUUGUCUCUAUCAAGUUGGAGUGCCAGACGCUGAUCUCCCGGCUUCGUGUGAGGAGAUUCGGAUAAUGGAAGAGUGUUUUUUUUUUUUUUCCCCCAGGAGUUUGUUGUAUCUGUAGCGAGCGGCCUGGUUUAUAUCUCUAUAUCACAUUCUCGAAGAGUUGCAUGGAGCUCAUGAUGUUUUCAUCCUGCAACACAGACAAGACAAAGAUUAAAGGAAAAGAUCAGACAAAAAUAAAAAGUGAGUGCAAAUGAAAGUAAAUACCUUCUGACACGUCUCGAUGAACUCCUCGAUCGUCACUACGCCGUCUUGAUUUCUGUCCAUUUUCUGCGGAAAUCAGUGACAGGAUCAGAGGAGCACUGUGGUGUUUUACUAGGGGGGGAAAUGUGUGUGUGUGUGUGUGUGUGUGUGUGUGUGUACCUGAAAGAACUUCUCCACAUGUUCAGACGGCGCUUCGUCUCGUACGCUGGGAUGAUGCUGUAACUCUCUGAUCCAGCGAGCACCACAGAGUCUAAUGCCAUGGCGGACGUGAGAAAACUACAAAAAAUGUGCAUUUUCUGUCAAAUAAACGAAUGAAUAAAUGAACGAUUAAUUAGUCUUAACACAUCUGAACUUGACAUACAAAGUUGCAGUUUUUAAUACAGCGCCCUCCACUAAUAUUGGCACCCUUAUAUGGUAAAUAUGAGCAAAGUAUGCUGUGAAAAAUGUGUCUUUAUUGUUUAACCUUUUGAACUUUUCUUUAAAAUAAAUUCACAAAAAUACUCUGCUGUCUUGGAUAUCAAACAACUGCAAACACAGCACAGGUUUAUAAAAAAAAUAUUGUUGUUAAAUAAAUAUAGGUGUGCAACAAUUAUUGGCACCCCUAUGAAUUCAUAUGAGAAAAAUAUAUUUGAAGUAUAUUCCCGUUGAUGUUUUACAUUUUUUUGUACACCUGGGUGACUAGGAACAGGAAAUUGUUCAACCAUGACUUCCUGUUUCACAGGGGUAUAAAUAUGAGGUAACACACAGGCCAAAUUUCCUUAUUCAUUCAUAACAAUGCGAGGAAUAUCGCUGUGAUGUGCGGCAAAAGGUUGUUGAGCUUCACAAAAUGGGGCGUGGCUAUAAGGAAAUAGUAAAAACAUUGAAAAUGCGCAUUUCCACCAUCAGGGCAAUAAUGAAGAAGUUCCAGUCAACUGGAGAUGUUAUGAAUCGACCUGGAAUUGGACGCGUGUCUAUAUCGUCUCAACGCACUGUGAAGAGGACGGUUCGAGUGGAUAAAAAAUCUCCAAGGAUCACAGCUGGAGAAUUGCAGAUGUUAGUUGCGUCUUGGGGUCAGAAAGUCUCCAAAACUACAAUCUGAAGUCACCUACAUCACCACAAGCUGUUUGGAAGGGUUUCAAGAAAAAAGCCUCUACUCUCAUCCAAAAACAAACUCGAGCGUCUUCAGUGUGCCAGACACUACUGGAACUUCAAAUGGGAUCGGGUUCUACGGUCAGAUGAAACCAAUGACCACAAAAUCAAGGCCCUGCCAUGGCCAUCCCAGUCCCCUGACCUGAACCCAUAGAAAACCUGUGUGGUGAACUGAAGAGGAGAGUCUGCCAGCGUAAACCUCGAAAUUUGAAGGAUCUGGAGAGAUUCCGUACGUAGGAACGGUCUCAGAUCCCUCGCCAUGUCUUCUCCAACCUCAUCAGGCGUUAUAGGAGAAGACUCAGAGCUGCUAUCUUGGCAAAGAGAGACAGCACAAAGUGUUGACUAAAAGGGUGCCAAUAAUUGUUCCACACCUAUAUUUAACAAAGAUAUUUUUUUAUAAACCUGUGUUGUGUUUGAAAUUGUUUGAUA